CGCCAAAUAACUACGAGUAAAAACUUAAAAUUUAAAAGACUUGACGGUACCUUAAAACAGCCUAGAGGAGCCUGUCAAAUAACCGAUACUCCACGAUUAACCCAACCACCCCUAGCCAAGGCAGUCUAUAUACCGCCGUCGCCAGCUUACCUUAUGAAAGAAACAAAGUAAGCCAAAUAGUCACGCACUAAUACGACAGGUCGAGGUGUAACAUAUGGGGUGGUCUAAGAUGGGCUACAUUUUCUAACCCAGAAAACACGAAAAGACCCUGAAAUAAGAAUCUGAAGGCGGAUUUAGCAGUACACUAAGAACAAAACACUUAAUCGAAACCAUGCAAUAAGGUACGUACACACCGCCCGUCAUCCCUGUAAACCACAUAAACUCUACAUAAAUAAAAAUCCAACA
rnacentral:rRNA from 1 species